GUUAAUCGCCAUUCGGAGACGCCGCUAAUCUAAUCUACGGCAUCUGUUUCGUUAAGGGUGGAUCAUAUAGACGUCCCUUCCCCCUCCCUUUCGUUAAGGAUCUUAUCAACGACUAUUAAAAUUUUCGCAGGAACUUAUAAACGUGCUCGACGACGAAGGCGAGAAGAUUCAUCAGAGCAAUAGCUUCAAGAGGAUCAUGUACAGUGUGUUGGGCCAGACCGAUUAUUAAGCCGAACUGACGCUAUAAAUAUAUAUAUAUAUAUAUAUAUAUAUAUUAUACCGUUUAUUUGUUAUAAAAAAAUCUCUAUUUUAUUUAUUGUACUACGCAAUAAAGGAAUGUCGAGCUUAUGCGAGUAUUCAGCAAGUUCCUGGAAAUAUGCUCGUCAAAAGUGCAUGUAUGCGCGCGCGUAAAACUUGAUUACGUGAUGUGUACUCGACAUUCAUUGCUUGUCCGAUGAAACACAAUACCGUGUAUCUUUUAAGCGUAGUAGUAAUAGUUUACUUUAAUACGCGCCGUUAGUACGUGGCUUGCAACAUUACAUAUUCUACUCGAGAUUAAUAUUUUUUGCUAGCCUGCACACCAAAGAAGCUUACUCUUCUCUCUCCGUAUCUCGAUGUAUCUAUUUUUUGAUGAUCCAUUUACACACUAUAUUAUACUUUUAACGUUACGCACAAUGAAAAAUUAAUUUUCACAAAAUA